UACGUAGGGUGCAAGCGUUGUCCGGAAUUAUUGGGCGUAAAGAGCUCGUAGGCGGUUUGUCGCGUCGAAUGUGAAAACCCGGGGCUCAACCCCGGGCCUGCAUUCGAUACGGGCAGACUAGAGUUCGGUAGGGGAGUCUGGAAUUCCUGGUGUAGCGGUGAAAUGCGCAGAUAUCAGGAGGAACACCGGUGGCGAAGGCGGGACUCUGGGCCGAUACUGACGCUGGAGGAGCGAAAGCGUGGGGAGCAAACAGGAUUAGAU
rnacentral:rRNA from 1 species